rnacentral:ncRNA from 1 species
ACGGCGAGUUCCGAAAAGCCGAAGAUAGAGUAGGAU